AAUUUUAGCAACACCAUCAAAGUUUUCAACUAAUUUAAAUCCUGUUGCAGAAACUGGGAGUAUUUUUUCAUUAUUUUUCUCUUUUAAGUAGAUAGUUUUGGGAAUAAAGAAAAGAGAAUUUCCAAAUUUGUUGAAUAAAAAUUCCCUAUAAACUUCAGUAUUUGUUCCAACAUCUCCUCCUUGUUCUCCAAGACGUUGUUUGAAGUACUUUUCUUCUUCUUUUACAUCAGCAUCUGUAUAUAGGUUUUCAAAUAUAAGUGUAUGUAAUGAUAGCAUUUGUCCAACAGUCAUAUUAUUAAUAUCUACCAAUGUAUAAUCAUCGAUUCUGUCAAUUACUCUCUUUUGGGAAGAAGUGGAGUAUUCUGAUCUCUCGAAAAGUAACUGAGAGGGAGACUUAAUGUUGUUAUAUUUGUUAACUCUGGUUAACUUAUGGAAAGUAGUUGAUGAUGAAUCUUGGUUAUUUUCUGACUCUUUUUCGUCAAUAUUUAAGCUUCCAGUUCCAAUAGAAUUAUAUCUAUUACCAUGAUCACUUCCAGUAAUUAAUUCAUCAAACUGUUCUCCAAUAUCACUACCAUCAGAUCUGGUGUUAUAUCUAUCGCCUUUAUAGAUUAACCUACCAUGAUUGUCAUAUACAUCUUCUCCUUUAACAAUCUUUUCAUAUGCAUUAGUCAUGUUAAUAAUAGAAGACUUCGAAAUAGUAUCAGUCCAAGCUCUACCUUCAAUUGGAUCAUAAGGAGAUGGUAAAGAAUUAUCGAAAGGAUCAAAGUUAUCAAGAAUCAGAUUAUCGUUGAAUAAUCCAUCAUUGACAAAGUUUGUAGCAUUUGCAAAUCUGUCAAUUGGAGUACCAGACUUAUAUUUCUCAUAUUCAUCCUUAAGAGCAUCUCUGAGGAAAUAAGAAAUCUCAAUACUUUUGGAAAUUGGGUCACUGCUAGCUUCUCCUGAGACAAAACCAAGCUUGUAAGCUUCUCUUUCUCUAAGUUUAAUAGAGUAUAAGAGGAAUUCCUUUUCAGUCAUAACUGGACCAAGUGGAUUCUUUUCAAGAUAUUUACGACGAUACUCAUUAUAUACCUUUCUAAGUUUGUCAUUACUUUUUCCAAGCAUUUCCCAAGCUUUGAGAUAGGCAGCAUCAAUUUCUUCUUUAGAAGCAUUAAUUGGAACACGUGGCAUGUGUUUGAGAGCUUCUUCAGGAUCAAAGUCAAAUUUGUCCAUAUCAUCAAAUAAUAAGUACUUUGGUAAGACUCCAUCAGCUUUUUUAGUGGUUUCAACGCCAAAUAGAGACUUCAUUUCUGUAUCAGUAGCAUUGAGUUCUUUCUUGACGUAAUCCAUAAAGUGUUUCUUCAUCUUUUUCACCUCACCUAGAGUUGGUACUUGUCCUGUAACAUUAAAUACAUGUUCUCUGAAAGAUUCUCUCAUCAUUCUUAUGCGAGCUUCAGGAGGAAGUGGAGCUAAAGAAUCCUUAGUUAAAGUACGUUCUGGUUCGUAAGCAUAUGGAUAUUCUUUAUACUUAGAACCAAAAGCUCUAUCCUUAGCAUCUCCCUUUUCAUAAUCUCUCAAUCCCGGAAUAGUUCUUCCAUAAUAACCUCCUCCAAUUGCACCAAUCUUAACAACUUUCUCGCUAUCUGCUGGACCUUCCUUUCCCCAACGAUUAGUUGCAAUAUGUUCCAAUGGAACAGUCUCCAUUGGAAAAUAAUAGUCGUAACUCAUUGCCAGCUCAAAAAGCAUUGGCAAGAUUACUGCCAACUUACGUUUUGAUAACAUUUCUGUUUUCUAUAAAGUUGGAUGUAAUUCUAAAAAAAUGAAUAAACCUGUUUG
rnacentral:antisense_RNA from 1 species